rnacentral:rRNA from 1 species
UCGACUUGGAGGUUGUUCCUUGAGGAGUGGCUUCCGGAGCUAACGCGUUAAGUCGACCGCCUGGGGAGUACGGCCGCAAGGUUAAAACUCAAAUGAAUUGACGGGGGCCCGCACAAGCGGUGGAGCAUGUGGUUUAAUUCGAUGCAACGCGAAGAACCUUACCUACUCUUGACAUCCACGGAAUUUGGCAGAGAUGCCUUAGUGCCUUCGGGAACCGUGAGACAGGUGCUGCAUGGCUGUCGUCAGCUCGUGUUGUGAAAUGUUGGGUUAAGUCCCGCAACGAGCGCAACCCUUAUCCUUUGUUGCCAGCGAUUCGGUCGGGAACUCAAAGGAGACUGCCGGUGAUAAACCGGAGGAAGGUGGGGAUGACGUCAAGUCAUCAUGGCCCUUACGAGUAGGGCUACACACGUGCUACAAUGGCGCAUACAAAGAGAAGCGACCUCGCGAGAGCAAGCGGACCUCACAAAGUGCGUCGUAGUCCGGAUCGGAGUCUGCAACUCGACUCCGUGAAGUCGGAAUCGCUAGUAAUCGUGGAUCAGAAUGCCACGGUGAAUACGUUCCCGGGCCUUGUACACACCGCCCGUCACACCAUGGGAGUGGGUUGCAAAAGAAGUAGGUAGCUUAACCUUCGGGAGGGCGCUUACCACUUUGUGA